rnacentral:rRNA from 1 species
UACGAAGGGGGCUAGCGUUGCUCGGAAUACUGGGCGUAAAGCGUGCGCAGGCGGUUUUGUAAGUCUGUCGUGAAAUCCCCGGGCUCAACCUGGGAAUUGCGAUGGAGACUGCAAGGCUAGAAUCUGGCAGAGGGGGGUAGAAUUCCACGUGUAGCAGUGAAAUGCGUAGAGAUGUGGAGGAACACCGAUGGCGAAGGCAGCCCCCUGGGUCAAGAUUGACGCUCAUGCACGAAAGCGUGGGGAGCAAACAGG